rnacentral:rRNA from 2 species
GGAGCAUGUGGUUUAAUUCGAUGCAACGCGAAGAACCUUACCAAGGCUUGACAUGAACUGGAAAUACCUGGAAACAGGUGCCCCGCUUGCGGUCGGUUUACAGGUGGUGCAUGGUUGUCGUCAGCUCGUGUCGUGAGAUGUUGGGUUAAGUCCCGCAACGAGCGCAACCCUCGUUCUAUGUUGCCAGCACGUUAUGGUGGGGACUCAUAGGAGACUGCCGGGGUCAACUCGGAGGAAGGUGAGGACGACGUCAAAUCAUCAUGCCCCUUAUGUCUUGGGCUUCACGCAUGCUACAAUGGCCGGUACAAUGGGUUGCGAUACUGUGAGGUGGAGCUAAUCCCAAAAAGCCGGUCUCAGUUCGGAUUGGGGUCUGCAACUCGACCCCANGAAGUCGGAGUCGC